rnacentral:rRNA from 1 species
GUGGGGAAUAUUGGGCAAUGGGCGCAAGCCUGACCCAGCAAUGCCGCGUGAAGGAAGAAGGCCCUCGGGUUGUAAACUUCUUUUAUCAGGGACGAAGGAUGUGACGGUACCUGAUGAAUAAGCUCCGGCUAACUACGUGCCAGCAGCCGCGGUAAUACGUAGGGAGCAAGCGUUAUCCGGAUUUACUGGGUGUAAAGGGCGCGUAGGCGGGAUGGCAAGUCAGAUGUGAAAUCCAGGGGCUCAACCCCUGAACUGCAUUUGAAACUGUCGUUCUUGAGUACUGGAGAGGUUGACGGAAUUCCUAGUGUAGCGGUGAAAUGCGUAGAUAUUAGGAGGAACACCAGUGGCGAAGGCGGUCAACUGGACAGCAACUGACGCUGAGGCGCGAAAGCGUGGGGAGCAAACAGG